rnacentral:rRNA from 1 species
UACGAAGGGGGCUAGCGUUGCUCGGAAUUACUGGGCGUAAAGCGCACGUAGGCGGCUCUUUAAGUCGGAGGUGAAAUCCUGGAGCUCAACUCCAGAACUGCCUUCGAUACUGUAGAGCUUGAGUUCGGGAGAGGUGAGUGGAACUGCGAGUGUAGAGGUGAAAUUCGUAGAUAUCCGGAGGAACACCGGUGGCGAAGGCGGCUUCCUGGACCGACACUGACGCUGAGGCGCGAAAGCGUGGGGAGCAAACAGG